rnacentral:rRNA from 1 species
GCCAGCAGCUAUAUCACUUUGCAAAUCAUAACUGGCAACCCACUGAAGCUAAGCAGGUGUGAGCCUGGUCAGUACCUGUAUGGGAGACCUCCUGGGAAAAACUAAGGUUGCUGCUGGAA